AAUCUCAUAACCCACUACAUGAAAUCUAUGGUAAACUACCCAAUGAAGCUAUUCCAACCAUCAAUGUGAGCUAUUGUUGAGUGUGUGAAGAGUUAUUCUCCUUUCCCUAAUUCGUACACUAUUCAUCAAGGAGGCAAAAGGAAGCUUUUGAAGGAGAUUCUCUUGAUGGAAGUCUUCUAGGUCUUGAAUAAGUGAUUAGAGGUGUGCCUAGGGAUUGAGAAGGAUCGGAAAUAUCUUGAAGCGAUAAAAGUAACUUGUUCCACAAGUAAGCGUAUUGGUAAAGCUUCAAGAGGAGUGAGCCAGGGGUAUGGAGAAUUCUCUAUAAACCUGGAGCUUAUUGAGAUUUGUAAUCUCACCCCUCUUUGGGGACACAUUUUCAGGUGCCCAGAUUCCCGGUGAGUCCUCACUAGGCAGGGACACGACACGUGGCUGAGGCAGUUGACAGAUCGGAUUUUGAGUGGCUGUA